rnacentral:rRNA from 1 species
GACGAACGCUGGCGGCGUGCUUAACACAUGCAAGUCGAACGGAAAGGCCCUGCUUUUGUGGGGUGCUCGAGUGGCGAACGGGUGAGUAACACGUGAGUAACCUGCCCUUGACUUUGGGAUAACUUCAAGAAACUGGGGCUAAUACCGGAUAGGAUCUCCUGCUGCAUGGUGGGGGUUGGAAAGUUUCGGCGGUUGGGGAUGGACUCGCGGCUUAUCAGCUUGUUGGUGGGGUAGUGGCUUACCAAGGCUUUGACGGGUAGCCGGCCUGAGAAGGUGACCGGCCACAUUGGGACUGAGAUACGGCCCAGACUCCUACGGGAGGCAGCAGUGGGGAAUAUUGCACAAUGGGCGGAAGCAUGAUGCAGCAACGCCGCGUGCGGGAUGACGGCCUUCGGGUUGUAAAAAGCUUUCGCCUGUGACGAAGCGUGAGUGACGGUAAUGGGUAAAGAAGCACCGGCUAACUACGUG